GGAUAUGUAGCUCAGUUGGUUAGAGCGCACCGUUCACAUCGGUGAGGUCACAGGUUCGAAUCCUGUCAUGUCCACAA
rnacentral:tRNA from 1 species